rnacentral:rRNA from 1 species
AGGACAAACGCUGGCGGAAUGUAUUAGGCAUGCAAGUCGCACGAGCCUUCGGGCUAGUGGCGGACGGGUGAGUAACACGUGGGUAACCUGCCUCGUAGUGGGGAAUAACUCGCCGAAAGGCGAGCUAAUACCGCAUAACACCCCCGGUGAGAAUCCGGGUGGUAAAAGCUCCGGCGCUACGAGAGGGGCCCGCGGCCGAUUAGCUUGUUGGUGGGGUAAUGGCCUACCAAGGCGACGAUCGGUAGCUGGUCUGAGAGGAUGGUCAGCCACACGGGGACUGAGAUACGGCCCCGACUCCUACGGGAGGCAGCAGUGGGGAGUAUUGGACAAUGGGGGCAACCCGUGAUCCAGCAAUGCCGCGUGGGUGAUGAAGGCCUUCGGGUUGUAAAGCCCUUUCGCACGCGACGAUGAUGACGGUAGCGUGAGAAGAAGCCCGGCUAACUUCGUGCCAGCAGCCGC